rnacentral:rRNA from 1 species
GAGGUCCCGCCUGCCCUGUGACUAUAUGUUUAACGGCCGCGGUAUUUUGACCGUGCAAAGGUAGCGCAAUCACUUGUCUUUUAAAUGAAGACCCGUAUGAAUGGCAUCACGAGGGCUUAACUGUCUCCUUUUUCCCGUCAAUGAAAUUGAUUUCCCCGUGCAGAAGCGGGGAUGCCCCCAUAAGACGAGAAGACCCUAUGGAGCUUUAGGCUCCAGAGCAGACUAUGUCAAAAACCCUUACGACAAAAGACAAAACUUAUUAGUCCCUGCUUUACAUGCCUUUGGUUGGGGCGACCGCGGGGAAACAAAAAACCCCCACGUGGACCAGGAGCACCACCUCCUAAAACCUAGGAUCACCUUCCUAAGUAGCAGAACUUCUGACCAACACAAGAUCCGGCACCAGGCCGAUCAACGAACCCAGUUACCCUAGGGAUAACAGCGCAAUCCCCUUCUAGAGUCCAUAUCGACAAGGGGGUUUACGACCUCGAUGUUGGAUCAGGACAUCCUAUUGGUGUAGCCGCUAUUAAGGGUUCGUUUGUUCAACGAUU